AAACUGCACUUACUGUGCUGGUGCUGACUUCAGUAGGAAAGGUGUGAAAACUUUAAGCAGCCACAGGAGCUUCCCUUUACUGGCUCCUCACUGAUCUUUCUCUUUACCCCGCUCACCUGGCCCUCUUUCAGGCCUCGCCUCCCAAAGCCUGCCUGCUCCGCUGCCCCAAUCCUGCGGUCGGGGGCCUCCUGGAGGCUGAGCCCUGCGUUUUAGAGACCCCCGUGGUGCACUUGUAGCUGCCGUACUGCGGAGCUAAGCUGCAGAGCGCGGCUGAGAGCGUCGGGAGGGCUUUGACACCAGCAGUAGUCACCGGGGCGCGGUUAUCCUUCUCUUUAAAACACUUCACUGGCUUGUUGGGAAGGGAAGAGCGCAUUUUGGAUCCAGCGAGCACUUCUUCGCCAGGAUUGCUGGUUUGUGGAAACAACCCCCUUUCUCCUGUGACUGGCUAUCUAGAGGUCAAAAAUGAGUCACAUUCUCAGGCAUAGAUCGGAGGGUGGGUCCACUUCUGGAGGCUAAUGCGUAUCUUACCAGUUAUGAGGAAGAUUCUGCUUCUGUGAAGAAGGUGAAAGGGGAAAUAACUCUUGAGGCAAAGAAUGGUGUUUGCCACACAGAGAUAUAUCUUUAUACAAACAUGUCUAGUAAAAUAAGUCCUUACAGAGAGAUUCCAAUAUGUUCUGCUCCUUAUUACCUUGGUAAAUGUAGACCAUAAGACAGUGAACACUUAACACCUAUCAGCUACUUAAUGCAAAUGGUGUCAUUUUUGAUACAACUUGUGUAGUUCCAACUUUGUGUUCAGUUUUGACAUGUGGCAAAGGACAGGCCAGAGACAGGGUGGGGAUGAGGAUUAGGUCAGGCACAAAAUGAGUUUUGAAAAGAUCCUGGGAAGUCCUCUUAGGUGUCUGCACAUAUCCCAACCUAGACCAACAGUAUGGAAAAAGAAGGCUUCUUCUCUUACUAGUGUGUUGGAGGACACUGUUUUCAGUGUGGGGUUUCUUAGAUUUUCAUGCAGGAAGGUGGAUGUCUAGGAAAUCUACAAUUUGAAAUCUAUGUGGAGAGAAUCUGUGGUGAAUGUUGAUAAGAAGGAGUGGUGAACUUGCUCCCUCUUGCUUGAUGUUUACUCGUCCUCUGGGGUGUGGUUCAUGAAUUCCCACAACCUGCUAAUGGAUGAUGUUAGACUCGGUUCCCAUCAGGCAAAGCGCUCUCUCUCUCUCAGCUUUUAAAAUCAACCAGAAAUUGAAAGAGUGGCAAUGGGGGUGACUCUAUAGGGGACGUUGGUGUUGAAGUUCAACCGUUUCCUUUUUGUGGGUGUGGGAGAGAAAGAUUUCUG